rnacentral:misc_RNA from 1 species
GAUGAAGAACGUAGCGAAAUGCGAUAAGUAAUGUGAAUUGCAGAAUUCAGUGAAUCAUCGAAUCUUUGAACGCACAUUGCGCCCGCCAGUAUUCUGGCGGGCAUGCCUGUUCGAGCGUCAUUUCAACCAUCAAGCCCCCGGGCUUGUGUUGGGGACCUGCGGCUGCCGCAGGCCCUGAAAACCAGUGGCGGGCUCGCUAGUCACUCCGAGCGUAGUAGUUACAUCUCGCUCAGGGCGUGCUGCGGGUUCCGGCCGUUAAAAGCCUUUUACCCCAAGGUUGACCUCGGAUCAGGUAGGAAGACCCGCUGAACUUAAGCAUAUCAAAAGCGGAGGA